rnacentral:rRNA from 1 species
GAUGAACGCUGGCGGCGUGCCUAAUACAUGCAAGUCGAGCGAACAGACGAGGAGCUUGCUCCUCUGACGUUAGCGGCGGACGGGUGAGUAACACGUGGAUAACCUACCUAUAAGACUGGGAUAACUUCGGGAAACCGGAGCUAAUACCGGAUAAUAUAUUGAACCGCAUGGUUCAAUAGUGAAAGACGGUUUUGCUGUCACUUAUAGAUGGAUCCGCGCCGCAUUAGCUAGUUGGUAAGGUAACGGCUUACCAAGGCAACGAUGCGUAGCCGACCUGAGAGGGUGAUCGGCCACACGGGAACUGAGACACGGUCCAGACUCCUACGGGAGGCAGCAGUAGGGAAUCUUCCGCAGUGGGCGAAAGCCUGACGGAGCAAGGCCGCGUGAGUGAUGAAGGUCUUCGGAUCGUAAAACUCUGUUAUUAGGGAAGAACAAAUGUGUAAGUAACUAUGCACGUCUUGACGGUACCUAAUCAGAAAGCCACGGCUAACUACGUG